GAUGAACGCUAGCGAAGUGCCUAAUACAUGCAAGUCAGACCCGAUUUUCGGAUUGGGUGGCAGACGGGCGAGUAACACGUGCUUAACAUGCCCUGNGAGAGUGGGACAACAUCGGAAACGGUGAUAAUCCCGCAUACGCUCGGAAAGCUGAGAUGCUGAAGAGGAAAGAGCAAUCGCUCUAGGAGUGGGGCGCGGGCCACCAGCUAGUUGGUGAGGUAAAGGCUCACCAAGGCGAUGACGGCUAGCCGGCUUGAGAGGGUGACCGGCCGCAAUGGGACUGAGACACGGCCCAUACCUCUACGGAGGGCAGCAGUAGGGAAUAUUGCACAAUGGGGGGAACCCUGAUGCAGCGACUUCGCGUGAAGGAAGAAGCCUUAAGGGGUGUAAACUUCUUUUCUGGGGGAAGACGAAUGACGGUACCUCAGGAAUAAGGGACGGCUAACUACGUGCCAGCAGCCGCGGUAAUACGUAGGUCUCGAGCGUUAUUCGGAGUUACUGGGCGUAAAGAGUCCGUAGCUGGCUGUAUAAGUCUACUUUCAAAGACCGGUGCUCAACAUCGGGAAGGGAGUAGAAACUGUAUAGCUAGAGACAAGAGGGGGCAAGUGGAAUUUCCGGAGUAGGGGUGAAAUCCGUUGAUAUCGGAAGGAAUGCCAAAAGCGAAAGCAGCUUGCUAUACUUGAUCUGACAGUAAAGGACGAAAGUGUGGGUAGCAAACAGGAUUAGAUACCCUGGUAGUCCACACCGUAAACGAUGCACGCUAGGUGUACCGGUGUAAACUGGGGUGCUGAAACCAAACGGGUUAAGCGUGCCGACUGGGGAGUAUAGUCGCAAGACCGAAACUCAAAGGGAUAAGCGGUGGAACACACAAGCGGGGGAUUUCCUCGAUUAAUUGGAUAAUAAUCCAAGAAUCUUACCUAGGCUUGACAUCUCCAGAACACCUGGGAAACUAACUGGUGCCCAGUUCGCUGGGAAUUGGAAGACAGAUGCUGCAUGUCAGUCGUCAGCUCGUACCGCAAGGUGUCCGGUUAAGUCCGGGAACGAGCGCAACCCUUGUAUUUAGUUAGGAUGUCUAAAUAGACUGCCUAUGCAAAUAGGAGGAAGGAGGGGACGACAUAAGGUCAAUUAUGGCCGUUAUGUAUAGGGCGUCAGAGGCAAUACAAUGGGUAGUACAAAGGGAAGCGAAGCCGUGAGGUGGAGCAAAGCCAAAAAGCUAUCCGAAGUGCGGAUUGUAGUCUGGAACUCGACUACAUGAAGUUGGAAUCGCUAGUAAUGGUGAAUCAGCCAUGUCACCGUGAAUAAGUCCCUGUUCCUUGCACUCACCGCCCGUCACACCAUGGGAGUUGG
rnacentral:rRNA from 1 species